UACGUAGGGGGGCUAGCGUUGUCCGGAUUUAUUGGGCGUAAAGAGCGUGUAGGCGGCUAGAUAGGUCCGUUGUGAAAACUCGAGGCUCAACCUCGAGACGCCGAUGGAAACCAUCCAGCUAGAGUCCGGAAGAGGAGAGUGGAAUUUCCCGGUGUAGCGGUGAAAUGCGCAGAUAUCGGGAAGAACACCCGUGGCUAAGGCGGCUCUCUAGUACGGUACUGACGCUGAGACGCGAAAGCGUGGGGAGCGAACAGG
rnacentral:rRNA from 1 species